rnacentral:lncRNA from 1 species
GGCCAAGCAAGGGAACAAAGAGAAAAAGAGAAGAACAAACCCUAGGAAAGAAAAAUUCAAGAGAAAUUGUUGGAUUUCAAGGAAUCAAGCAAGUAAAGGUAAGAUUUUUUAAUUUUAGCUUGUGAUCUACCUUUCCCAUGCAUUCUUUUUCAUUCUCCAUGGCUGAAAUUCAAGUUUUCAAGAGGGAACCUUUGCUAGCCAAAUCUAGAGAGAGAAGUUUUGGUGAUGAAUUUUGCUAGAUUUCAUAAUAUCCUAGUGUUUUUAGUUGUUUGAUGAUGUUUGGCAUGAAAAAUAAGUAAGAUAAUCACAUGCCCUUCAAUAACCCACUUUGGCACAAAUAUAUUGAAUUACGUGUCGUGUAUUAUGUAUAGGUGGUGAGCCCUCCGAUAAGGGUAAAGAUUUUGUACUCAAGGACCAAGAAUAAGAGUACUCCAAACUCCUGCUAUAAGUGAGUAACAGACUUUCAUCUUAACUAUCUAAAGUUGUUUCUACUUGUUUUUAUGUUUUAAAGAAUAAUGAGUUUAAAUGGUAAAUUAUUAUGUUUUAAAAAUUGAAUUGUUGGUUAAAUGAAAUGAGUAUUAUAACUUGUUUUGAAAUUAAAUACUGGUUUUGGAAAUUGAGUAUGUGGAGACUAUAUACUCGUGUUUUGAUAUAUAGUUUGAAUUGGUGGCUUAUGACAAUGUGAUGGCAUGAAUGGCUGGAUUUGUGUUUUGUGUGGAAUAUAUAAACUGUUUUGUUUUGCCAUGACACAGGUUGGAUAAUAUUAUAUUAGCUAUGUCAUGCUGUUGAAAUGUUUAUUAAUUUGGUGGGUUAUUUGAUUAGCUUACUGCAGUGGGCGGGUUUUUGUGGACCAGCCUAUUAGAGGGGCACGGUAAACUCCGUUAUAUUUUACCUUAGUAUGAGAGGCGCGAAGGGUAUCUCCUAAGGUAUAUUUAGAGUUCACUUCACACCGAACCACCACGUGAGGGUGAAACUCAGCCAACGCCAAGGAACGGCUACAUUUUUAAACGUAAAAACAUGUUUUAUGUGUAUAUAUCAUUUUAAUAGCCUUGGCGGACUCGGUUGGAUGCCCGAGCCAAGGUGUCCCCGAGUAUAAGUUUUGGUACAAGACAAGCUUUUAAGAGAAUCAUAAGCUUUGUUGAUUAUUUUGAUGAAAUGUAAUUGUUUUAUAUGAAUUGAAAUGAGUUUUGGAAUGUUAUGAAUUAUAUUAUGAUUGGAUGAUUUAACUGUCUCCAUUUACUCGGCUUUAGAUGUUAUAGAUGAACUUUUGCUUACUCACUGGGUUUAUAAAAACUCACCCUUUCUUUUUACCUAUUUCAGGCUUAGGAUAACUUGUAGAUAGCUGAUUUCGUCGAGGAUCUACUUUAGGAUUUACAUCCUUAGAAAUCAAAGGUCUACCUUCUUGUACAUAUUUGUUUAUUUUGGGGGCCCACAUGUCAUUAUAGAAUAUUUUGCUUUUACUGUAUCUGUUGUGUGUGCCACUGUAUGUAUGAAGAUAUUUUGCUUUUACGCUACAAAAAUUAUUUACGUAGAGUUCUAUAAAUAUUAUUUUAUAAGAAAAUGGAAUAUUUUAUUUAGUUUGAUUAGCCAUAAUUUCAUUUUAAAUGGAUGAUUUAGGUUGCUAAAAUUAUUUUUAGAUAAGAAAUGUAUAUUUUUCGAUCGUAUACUAUAUUUUCACCAGGUUUCAAAAUAUUCGAGUAAAAAUGAUCAAAAUACCCCUGUGUGGCAGAAAUUAUUUUUUUUGUUUGUUUUGAUUUAAAAAUAGUUUAUAUCCCCUAAAACAUGAUAUUUAGUAACUAUUGCUCACAGGGGAGAUGUAAAAUUAAUGUGAGAGCCUUGCAAGAUUUUGGUUGACAUUCUAGGUAAUGAAUGUCUAUCGAGAGAUCGCAGUGGAUGUCACGGGCUUGAAGGGAGUACCAGGUCAUGACAAAUAUUUAUUCUAGAAAAUGCUUUUAUGAAUGUG